AGGCCUUUUUCGGCACUGAAGCACUGAGGCCCAAAGAGCUUCCCUCCAUCUCUUUCACGCCCACCAGGCAUCUGAGGCAAAGCAGGAGCCUGGCAACAUCUGCCGGAAACCUGGAUGAUGCCUAAGCCUAGGUACCGCCAUUAGGUAAUGAGCUGACAUUAGGAAAACUGGGUGAAGGAUACACAGGAACCCUCUGUACUGUCUUUGCAACUUUCAUGUGAAUUUAAAACUAGUCCCUAAAAAGAACUUAUUCAAAAAUACAAUUUGGGGGCUUCCCUGGUGUCUCGGUGAUAAAGAAUCCGCCUGACAAUGCAGGAGACACGGGUUUGAUGCCUGAUCUGGGAAGAUCCCACAUGCCAUGGAGCAACUAAGCCUGUAUGCCACAACUAUUGAGCCUGUGUUCUAGAGCCCAGGAACUGCAGCUACUGAGCCUGUGUGCUUCAACUGCCGAAGCCCACACCUCCAAGAGCCCAAGCUCCACAAGAGAAGACACUGCAAUGAGAAGCCUGUGCACCGCAACUGGAGAGCAGCCUCCUCUUGCAGCAACUAGAGAAAAGCCCAAGCUGCCACGAAGACCCAGCACAACCAAAAUUAAAAAAAGAAACAAACAUUGUGGGGCAAUGAGCAGCACCUUGACCGCAACCCUAGCAAACCAUCAGCAGGCCCCACGGAUCUGCCAGGCACCACCUGCCAGAAAGCCCUAGAUAGAUGUACAGUUGUCACAUUUAAUCUUUAUACCAACCGCUGUUGUGUGUGUAUCAAUCGCUCUGUUUAAAUUGGAGUAAACCGAGGCACAGACAGGUGAAGUCACUCACCCACACAGCUCACUCAGGCUUUGGACUCAGGGACUCUGAUGGCAUUGAUGAAGAAUCUGAGGCACAGAGAGGUCGAGUAACCAGCCCCAGGUGACCCAGCAAGGAGGUGGAGGAGCCAGAACUCUAGCCCAGCAGUCUUGGUCCUGAAUCUGCAUCCCUGAGCCCUGCACUGUAGUAGGAGAGGGGACCCCCAACUCCAGAGUCAGCCAACCCUGGGAGAGAUGCCUGGCACUGCCUGGCUGCAUGGCCUGGCACAAGUCCCUGUCUUCUCCGUGAACUGGCUCCCCACUCAGGAUGGAGAUAAGGAAGCCUGCUAUCAGAUGGCUUGAGGAUGAGCUCGGGUGAAGGAUAGGCUCUGGCACACAGUGGCACUUGGGAGGUUGCUCUCCCACAGUGUCCAAUGGGCACUUCCUGUAAAGGGCAGAUGGAAAGGUGUGGCCAGGUGAGGGUGGGCCGGGAACUCCAGGUGGGAUGUCCCUUCCCUGCAGCUGUGCAGACAGAGCAGGUGAGGGCCCCCCCGGAGACAGAUAGGUGGAGCAUCCGCCCUCUCCCCAGCCCACAGCCCCACUGCCGAAGGAAUUCUGGGGAGUCGGGGAGGAGAGAGGGGUUUCCCAAGGUCUGUGCACAGGGCCUAACCCCCUAGGCUGUGUGCCAGGACCCUGAGAGGUGGGCGAGGCAGGAGGCAGGAAAGGAGGCUGCAGCCAAGAGCCAUAGGAAUGGCAAAGAGAAAAGGGGCCCAGCCCUGGUUGCCAGCUCCGGCUGGGUUCCCAGGGGGGUGGUCUUUGGGUUGGCAGGGUUACCUCCUCAGGCCGGUGGGCUGGCCUUCAGCUUAGCAGACUCAGAAUACUGAUUUUUUUUCUACAUCUCCCAGUCCGCAUACCAAGGAUGAUCAGGGGACUGGGGCCCAGCCAGCCAGUUCUCCAGGACAUGGGCUGUGAAGUGAAAUGUUAAUCUCUCAGUCGUGUCCAACUCUUUGCUACCCCAUGGCCUACAGUCCACCAGGCUCCUCUGUCCAUGGGAUUUUACAAGCAAGAAUACUGGAGUGAAUUGCCAUUUCCUUCUCCAGGAAUCUUCCAGACCCAGGAAUCGAACCCAGGUCUCUUGUAUUGCAAGCAGAUUCUUUACCAUCUGAGCCACCAGGGAAGGCCAGGACAGGGAUUAACAAACCCAAAUGCCAGUUUCUUCAUGGGCCAGAGCAUUAGGGGCCAGACUGUUUUUCUCCCCCUGAUUCCCAUCCUCAUACCCCAGCCUGGGGAGCCUGGGUUAAUAAUGAGUGGGGCCUAGGGGGCGAGGUCAGAAACACAGUAUGUAGCAGCUGUCAGUGGUCUCAGCCAGGCUGCCCAGAAACAGCACGAUGGGGUGCAGGGUGGGGGGUGGGCAUGUGGGAAAUUAGGGAGUCGAAACCAGGUUUGGGUUUGAAUCCAAGCUCUGCUUUGUCCCUGGUCAUGUUAACUCACCACCGUGAGCCUCAGUUUCCCUGUCUGUAAAAUGGGGUUAUUAUCAGAAUUGAGAUCUCAUCAUAAUGGCAGAGCUUCUUACACAAAGCACCCAGAAUGUGGUAGGUGCUCAAUAAAUGGAACUCUCCUCCAC
ensembl:lncRNA